UCUCAUUAUCUUUUUCGGAUUAAAGUGGACAAACAAUCGGAAGUGUACAGGUUGUUUACCAGCAGUCAUGUCCUCCAGGAAGUCAUGGUCCAGUGGGCAAGAAUUGCCUUCAAGCAGAUCUGGAGUGCGUACCCCUAUGAGAAGUCUGGAGAACGAAAGACUGCAUCUGUCAGC